AGGCAGCAGUGGGGAAUAUUGGACAAUGGGCGAAAGCCUGAUCCAGCCAUGCCGCGUGUGUGAAGAAGGUCUUCGGAUUGUAAAGCACUUUAAGUUGGGAGGAA
rnacentral:rRNA from 1 species